GAACAGGUGCUAAUACCGCAUAAUUGUUUUCCCACAUGGGAGAAUAAUAAAAGACGCUUCGGUGUCACUGUUGGAUGGGCCCGCGCUGCAUUAGUUAGUUGGUGGGGUAAUGGCCUACCAAGACCGUGGAUGCAUAGCCGACCUGAGAGGGUGAUCGGCCACACUGGGACUGAGACACGGCCCAG
rnacentral:rRNA from 1 species